AUGCUUGCUUCAGCAGCAUAUAUUCUAAAAUUAGUACAAUAUAGAGAUUAGUAUGACCCCUGUACAAGAAUGACAUACAAAUUCAUAAAGCAUUUCAUACUUUU
ensembl:snRNA U6 U6 spliceosomal RNA